AUUGAACGCUGGCGGCAUGCUUUACACAUGCAAGUCGAACGGCAGCGCGGGCUUCGGCCUGGCGGCGAGUGGCGAACGGGUGAGUAAUAAAUCGGAACGUGCCCAGUAGUGGGGGAUAGCUCGGCGAAAGCCGGAUUAAUACCGCAUACGACCUGAGGGUGAAAGCGGGGGAUCUUCGGACCUCGCGCUAUUGGAGGGGCCGAUGGCAGAUUAGCUAGUUGGUGGGGUAAAGGCCUACCAAGGCGACGAUCUGUAGCUGGUCUGAGAGGACGACCAGCCACACUGGGACUGAGACACGGCCCAGACUCCUACGGGAGGCAGCAGUGGGGAAUUUUGGACAAUGGGCGAAAGCCUGAUCCAGCAAUGCCGCGUGUGUGAUGAAGGCCUUCGGGUUGUAAAGCACUUUUGGCGGGAACGAAAAGGACUGUGCCAAUACCACGGUUCGAUGACGGUACCCGCAGAAUAAGCACCGGCUAACUACGUG
rnacentral:rRNA from 1 species